UGACACCAGGGCUGAAUCACCCAUGUGGUUGCAGCCAGAAAAAACUUUUAGAAGGAAGGAGGGGAGGGAAAGAAAGAAAAGCAAAAAAAAAAUUAAAGCACCUUGCAAGAAAAAACAAAACCCACCCUCGGCUCCCCAUCUGCGGGCUUUUGAUGCAGGGAAGUUUGUUAAGGAGUUCACCCGCGGUGCACGGGGAGGGGGGUCUGCACACUCCAUUUACCCCGCAUUAGGCAGAGGGGGGCAGGACUUUUCUCCCUUUUGUCAGCCUUUGAAUGCAGCUCGUGACAUCAUGGGCUGAGUUGGCUUGCUUGGCUGCAACUUUUUUGCACAAGUCCUCCGAUGUCCGUGCAGCAGGCACCCGGAUCCCUGCCCUCCCCCACUCCCUCGCUGCGUCCCAGGGAAGCCGGGCAGGGAGGUAACUUGGAGCCUCCGCAGGGGGAGGCGCGCACAGCCCGGCAGAGGCGUAGCUCUGGUCCUUUCAGGACAGCCAACGAGGCCAGAGCAAACCUGACCUGAGCUUUUGCAGAAUGACUCUCCUUGCUUCCCAACCAUGUGCAAGUACAUUGCAAGGCCUGUGGGUUGGGGUUUUUUUUUUUGUAUUGAAUUAUGAUUCUUUUGCUUUGCGCGAGAUUGAGUUUACAGGAUCGGUAGUAACGCUGGUUUUUUAGGGUUUUUUUUUUUUUUGAAUGAGUCUCCCUUAUGGACACUAGCUGUGUGUUUGUUUUGGUUGGGACCCACCCCUCAAGCAGAUCUGCUCCAGCAAAGCAGAGAGCAGCUCAGCUUUGCAAGCGACUGAACACCACUGUAGCCUUUUUUUUAUUUCCUUUUUUUUAAAAGGCGAUCAGAUAACAAGCGAGGGAGCAGAAGCAAGGCCCUCUCCUCUCGCUCCGACUCUGAGCCGGGUGGAGGGGUGCGGGUGCCUGCAGCCCUCCCUCCGCCCGGGCGGGGAGGCGGCAACAGAUGGUUUUGCAAUCCCGUCAGCUUUGAUUUCCCAGUUGCUGCGGGUCGUGGGGAGGGGGGUUUUGGCGGGACGAGGGAGGGGCACGUGGAUGCCCGAGUGCAGCAAAGAUCAACACGUAGUUAUCGGGGGCUGGCAUCAGGAAAGUAGUACGUUUGCAAAAAAAGCAACUGAAAAAGAGAUGGACCGUGCAGGUCCCGGGUGGAAGUCCAUACUGAGGUGGAAAUGCGAGCCUCUUGGUUUCUUCUGCCUAUUUCCACUCGUCCUCUGUCGCCUCCGCCUCCUCCCCCUCCUCCUUACAGUAAGAGUUGCCCACUCCAGCCUCUCAGAUGUUGAUUCCACAACACUCUCGGCGACUCCAUCUGUUAUGAAACAGCCAAGUGCAUUUUUCCAUAGCAGGAUAAUUAGGUCACCUAAUUACGGCCACGUUUCUUCGGAAAGGCAAAAAGAUCGCGAAACCAUCUGACUUCCCGGCCCCGACGCGUUUGCAAAGACAUGUUGCGUUGUCUCGCAGCCGGCCCCCCGGCCCUGCGCGCUGGCGGCGGGCGAGGAGGGUUCAGCGCCCCGCGGCGUUUCACAACCCCGAGACGUCUUGCUCUCCGGCUCGGCUCGGCCUGGCCCCGGCUGCCUGGGAUGUGUCUCCUUUGAUUUCAACUGAUUGAGCCCAUUUUUUCACAGUGCUGCCUUUGCAUUUUUGCAGCCUGACUGUCUUCGUGCUGAUUCACAUUUCCACCCCCCCUUGCACUUAGUUACUACUUUUUUCCAAUUUUGAUUGAAACCUGGCAGGCUGCGCUAAAGGAAAUAACUCGCAUCCACAUUAACUUAAAUCACUAAAAUAUGUUUUUUAGGCCUUUAAAGCAGCAGUUGAUAGUGGCUGCCUCUACUCCCCCCACCCCCCCACUUCCAGUUCCCCAAAGGGACCAUUGCAGGCCAUUGAAAUCAGAACUAAAAAGAAAGAAAGUAAAGUUUCUUAGCAAAUAAUCCGUUCCAGAUUUUAGCACACAAAACCUGAUGCCUGCUGAUACUUAGAGGGUGAGGAGACAGUUUCUUUUUAACAACCGUCAACGUUUCAAGGCUUUUGAUAUGAGACCGCUUCAGUGUGAAAUUUGCUGGGCCAAAACCAGCAGCCCUUACUCGGGCAAAGCUCUUACUAAAGUCAGUGGGAGUUUUGGCAAAGGAAGGUCACUGGAAUUUGGUCCCUUGUCAUUAACUCAUCCAGGCUGAGCCAAUAGGCCCCUCCUUGAAAUGCCUCUCACUAUAGCACUGAAAAUCCUUCUCCCUUCCCCCUUAGCCCAGACUCCGAAAGAGAACUGAAACCCAGAGUCCAGAACGGAAAGCCAGCUAAGAGAGAUCACAUUUAACGCUUCAAACAAAUGAUCCCUAUUCCCACUUCCUCUUCUGUUUGCUUCAGCCUCAUGAACUGGGCUUUCAGCUCGUCUCCCUGGCUGCUGAUCUCUUCCCCCCUCCUUCCAUCUUCAAGAACAGCCAAAAUAACCAAACGAGAGCAACGCCUACAGACUGUCCAUUCCAGGUUUCUUUUUUUUUUAAUUAUUAUUAUUUACUUAAGGAUAGAAAACUGGUUCCUCGAAUUUCCGUCUCUAGAUUCAUUUUUUUCCCUGCUUGUUGGCAGAAGGAAGAAGCAACCAGGAGAGAGCGAGCAGCUUAAGCGUGUUAUUUUCUGCAGUUGUUUACUGGUUCCGUGGAUGGUGCAUGUUCCCAGGGCUCCUCGCCUCUCUCUAUAAUUAAACCCUUUUUAAUUGUUAGGUUGAGAACGUCAUUUCAGGGACUUUCCAAAGGUUACGGAGUCCAAAGCAGGAAGCCAGCACAUAACUGUUUCACUACUGAGUUGCUGCGAGCCUGGGUUUGCACUCUGCAGCUCAGAGCAGUCAAGUCUCAGGGGGCUGGGGAGCGCAGGCCUCGUUCUGCAUUCCAUAACACUACAGACACUCAAGUGCGAGCUUUGGGUGUGGAGAGCUUGCAGGACUGGGCUCUCAAUCGCAUUCCCCAAAGCAAGCAACUAACCCCUUGCAUACAUGCUGCAGUUAUCGGCCUCUUGUGGGCUAAGAUCAAGCGUAUCUGAGGAUUUACAUAGAAUAGAUGCAGUAGGCCAUGUACACAUUUGUUUUGGGAAUCACAGCUAUAUGUUUUCCAGCUUCUGUGCAUCCUGGGCCAAGUGCUGUUCCUACAGAAGUCCGGUUAGUAUUUUGCCAUUGUUCAGGUCUGAUUUUGGCUGGUCAGAACCUGACUGUAGGGUAGUAUUUAACUGUUUGCACACUCAAACCACACAUUCAUGGCUGAAAGUCAGGCUUCUCUGGGCUUAACUGGGAGUUUGUAUGUGCACCUACACACACCUGCUGGGAAGAGGAGGAAUCCAGCCCUUCUGCUCUCAAGAGCAGUGUUGCAAGAACAUUUUUUGCACUGAUUUUCCUUGUGGUUUUGACAAUAAAACAGUUUCUAGCCACGGAACACUUGAGUAAAUGUGUGGGGUUUGUUUAUUUGAAUAUAAAGUCAUGCUUCCUGAGGUAUGUACAGUAGAUCUGUGGAGCAGUUCACCCUUCAUAUUAUUUUGCAGUCUGGAAGGUACAAAUGAAGUUAUGAGCUAGUAAUAAGGCUCCCAGAUUGCUUGAGACUCUUGCAAGGUCACCUAUUGAUUUUUACUGUAGGUUCAGCUGGACUGCCUUGGUCACCUGAUUCAGGCAGAGGCCAGUGACCCACCUUAGCUCUUUACAGGCCAAGCUCCCGCCAACUGCAUCGCCAUUUAAACAUGGAAAGGAAUAAGUGCUGUAGUCAAUCUGCAGGCACAUUUAACAUUGGAACAUAGGAAUUACCAUACUGCAUCAGACCUCCAAUUCAUCUCGUCUAAUAUUUUGUUUCUGAGAGUGGCUUAUACAAGAAGGUCCAGAGGAAAGUACAAAAAUAUAUCAGGCAGUCUGGUUCCUUCCUUCUCUGCUGCCUCUCCUAAUCUCUCAAUUUACAGUGGAAUCAGAAGGGAUCAGCCAGGUUUGAUGGCCUUUCUCUUGUAUCACUGUUACCUUCUCAUGAAGCCACAGGACAUCAGUGGGAUUUUUAUUGGUUUCUUUGAGAGCAGGAUAAUGCUCAUGACUGUUCCUUUCAAAUCUUGUGUGCUUCCUUUAGAUUGCCACGUGUAGCCUGCAGCUUGCAAAAUUGGAAUUGGUUGCACCUGAAACUCUCUUUGGGCCAAACUGGGACAUUGAAGCUGUAUAUAUUAUUUCUUAACCAACAAUCAUCACAUAUCCACGUUUGCCUCAGAUAGGCCCACAUGAGCCUCGCAUGCCACAUGAGCUUCACAUGCCUGUGCUUUGCAGAAGGAUACAAAACAAUGACACAAAGAUAUAUAUGGAGAACGCUUCAGCCAGUUUUAGUCCCAAUGACUGUAAUGAGAGUUUAGUGUAAAGUACAAGUUUGAACCAAAUAAAGACUCCAGAUUUUGGCACUAACCUCGUCCCUGAUCUUCUUAUUCCUAUAACUGGGAAGAGAUUUGGUUCUCUAAAGGAACCUCAUAAUUGCCAGAGGUACUGUUUUUUCACUUUGGACCUAGGGUCAGUGGUAACCUUGAAGGUUUGAGUUAUAGGAAAGCAGGAGGCCCCCCAAAAUAUCUGAACAGGUAAAAAAAAAAAAUCAGUUUCUUUCAUGGUCCAGUGUCUCAACCACUGAAUGGAAACAUUAUUAAACUGUGAAAAACGUCUUUCCCCUUUGGUUUGAGAAUGAGCUAGACCUUUCAGCCCCAAAGGGUCACUUUUUCCAGGAAGAUAUAUUGGGUGCUUCUUGGAUAAUGAAUGUGCCUUUUCUGUCCUCGUGCACUAAUAUAAACAGAGUUCAGUCAUGGGGAUAACCUUUCUAUAUUUAUUUCAGCUGGUAAGAAAAGCAGGUCAGGGCUCUUUGAAUCCAGUUCCCUGGAGUAUUAACAUCUGCUGGAUUUUGGGGCUAUUUUUGCACUGGGGUUUUUGUGGGUAGGUAGAGGUGCAUUUCUUUUCAUCCCUCAAGCCCAAAGCAUCUUAGCGCUCUCAUUCCCCUCUCCCCCUUUGCUUCCACAAAUCCUUUAGCAACCUUUAUAGGUACUCUUGGGUUCUUGUGUGGGGGUGGAGGCAGGCAUGCAAUGUGUCCCUUUAUAAUGUGCCCUUAAGGAGUUUUUGUUUCUGUUAAUCCCAUCUUUUAUUUUGGUCCUGUGUUCCUUCUAUGUAACUCAAUGUAUCUGCUGGGAGAUGGAGUGGCCCAAGUUGUAAACUACAGCUUUGAGAUGCAUCCUCUGCCAGGCACUAUCUGCACCUUGGGAAAGUGCUUGCCCUUCUGGUUAAAAGCAAAAAAGGUGCAUUAGCAGCUGCUUGGUAAGAAAACAAACUCCUAAAGAUACAGGAAAGUGUGUCAAGGUGGUGGGAAGGAAAGGGAGUGAGAUUCCUGGCAGCUUGGGUGUGUAAACAUUUGUAAAAUGGAGAGUGUGUGUAUGUGUGUACUUUGUGGUGGCAGGAAACCCAAGUAGCCAACACCAUUAUUUUUGCAGGAGUUGGUAGAUACAGUACCAGACAAAUAUCAUGAGCCCUUAAUCCUCCUGGAUUUACACCUGUGUAUAAUAUGAAAAAUCAUCCAGAAGGAGAUCUAUUACACAACACCUUUACUAAAUAACUCCUGAUUUUGGGACCUCAGUUUGUCGUCUGUAGGGUGGUAUCACUGUUUCUGGGUAGCUCAGACACUUGACCCCAGUUGAUGGGGAAGAAGACACAAGCUACAGAAAGAAUUUGGUCCCUUGGGAGAGGAUAUAAAAUAUUUGCAUCAUCUGUGACAAAUUUAGCACUGGUGGCACUGACAAGAUAUUGCAGUGGAAAAUAUAGAGGUGUAAUUUUGGCAGACUAUAAGGUAAGAAAAUUGGCUGCACUUAAUGGACCUGACAUAAUUUCCAGUGGAAAUACUAAUGCAGUUAAUGCAUUUCCACAUGGACACUGAGACCAUACUUACACUCUUUCUAUUUUUAAUCCUUUGAUAGCUGAGGUAUUGCUACUGGAUGCCCCUGAAUGUAGCCCUGCAGUGGGAUCUAACCACAAAAAAGUUGAGCAUGUGUGUGGGAGGAGGUUUGCAGGUAUGAACCAUGCAACAGCAGGAAAGUAGUGGGUGACACAAGAAAAGUAUUUAAAUCUGUGUCUAGAACCACUGCUGCCCAUCUGUGCAAAAUAAGUCGGCUCCAGAUGUAAACUUACCCUGACUACAUCUCAGCUCUUACGCAUCUCCUUGCAACAGGCUGUUGGCUCCUUUAACCUUUUGCAAGUUUUGUGCCUUUUACUAUACUGCCCCCUCUAGUCCAGAUCCCUCACUGUCAGGCACUCUUGCCUAGUUGUUUACUUCAGUUCAAUGUCCAUGUAAAUACAUGCGUCUUGACUGGGCAGUAUUUUACACAUACUCUGCACGGGUUUCAGUUCAUUAUUGAGCAGUGGUUCUCAACCUUUUUUGACUCAAGGCAUCCCCUUCAUUAGAGUCCGAAAAUGCUAACUUCGUUUACACUCUUUUUGGGACUACAGAGAAGUAAUCAAGCAAAUUUUUCUGUUGCAGAGAACUCAGACUACAACAGAUCAAAAGAAGCAACAGCAGCUCAAAGAAAGAACCACAGUAAAACCUCCAGGAGCAAGGAAGUGGUACCAGCUGCAAAUUAAAACAGAAAUUGCAUACCAAGAUGGAGGGCAGGCCAGAAAGCAGGCAGGUCUUGAUGAAAUGCAGCUGGGAGUUUAAAGACAAUUCAUGGGAGUUGAGUAACAAGCACUGAUGAAUCAUAAGAGUCAGGAGAAGCUGCUAAUGUGUGGGAAAAAGGCAAAUGUGCUUACCUGUGCCCAAGCAUAUAAUAAGGAAGUAUGUAAUAAUAAUUAUUGUUAUUGUAAGAAGGGCUGUGUGAGUAUUUGGGAAAAAGAUAUCUAAUAACUGACAAACAACGUGGCUCGGUUUGUUUUGAUCUGUGAGUCAAACAAUGGUUAUGUUUGUAAGGCAGUAAUACACAGAGCACAGAACACUGGCAUGGCACCAACUAUUCAGGUUUAUAUAGGUCAUGCUAAACAAAUAAUAGUUUUCUUCAAAAUAAUUACUGAUUCAUUAAGUAAAGGUAAAAUAGUAGAAAGAGUCUAUUUAGGUUUGAGUGAGGUGCUAGAUAAAGGAAAUAUAUACAUUUAGAUUGGGAGUUUUGAAAGCAGCUGGCAUUAACCUAAGGCCAUGUCUACACAGUAAACUUACCAUGCUCCAGAGCAGUGCCCUCAAACACACAGAGCAGCUUCCAGCAAGCUGCCUCCUCAACUGGAAGCAGCAUAGUCAUAGGCAAGCAGUGCUAUAGGUAGGCAGGAUCAUUGGCAUAGGGCAGAGUCUGCCAGCCAGCGUGGCUAAUUAGCUCACCUAAAGUGCCACAUAGCAGUGCAGCCUACUUGAGGAGCCCGCUCCAGAGUAUGGUCUGGUUACAUGGCCUAAUUGCUCCCUCUUGAAGUCAAUGGGAAAAUCUCUACCAACUCCAAAGGGAGGGGCACAAGGCUGACAAUAAACACUUUGGAAAAAGCUACUAUUAAACUUUAAUAUUCACUUGUACUUACAUAGGGCUUUUAAUAAGAGUCUCUCAGAGCCCUUUAGAAGAUUGAAUGGGUAGACUGGGAAACCAGGCCACAAAGAGAUUAAAGGUUACAUUCAGUAAAGGAUGUAGGUGCUUAGAGUAGGAUUCAGGCAAAAGUCAAGAUUGUAUUUCUGAAACCCCAUUCAUCUGCCACCUACUUCAGGAGGUGCUUAAACUCCAUAAGUGCUUCAGUCUUUGCUCACAGAGUUCCCUAGGCACCUGCAGGUUCUGCUUUGGGCAGGUACCCAAUGACUGCUUCAUGUGAAAUACAGAAACAGGUUUUCCUGAGGGACAAGAAGCAGAACUCUCCCUUCCCAGCCAAGCAUCUCCUCACUCAGCUGCAGAUUCCUCCUCCUUGUGCUCUAAUGAAUCUUUAAUUUUUUUUCUGUGCAGUAUCUCAGGAGGGGACCCACCCCUGUCAGAAUAAGAGGAGGCGAGUAUGAACUUCCCUAGGCUGAGGUAGGAUUUAAACGUGGGUUUUCUUUGUCCUGAGUAAGUGGUCUGCCCACUGAGCUCCUGCAUUAGAGGGCGUGACACCACCAGCAUAUGUUCUUUAAAAGAAAAUGAGUGAGCCCUGGGCAGUUCUUUGAAAUACGAGGCAUAGGUAGUAGGUAUCCAUCUUCAGGGAGGGGUUUUGGGCUGGGGUUCGAACUGGAUGGAGUCAUCUCCUGCAGCACUCAGGUGCCUGAGCCCCAGGGAGGCGCAGGAUUCCAGAUGUACUGCUGUGCUCAUCAUGCCUGUUUCCUGGCUUUAGGUGCUUAAAUGCUAGGCAUGUGACUUCAAGCAGCUCCCUGUUCAACAUGCUGGCUGGUUUGGUCCCCCAUGCACUGCCUAACUAACAUAAGGUUUGGGAUUCCAUACUGGGGGACCUAAAAUGUAGGUAUUGCAGUACCAAAGGUGCCUGAGGCCUCUCAGAUCUGGCCUUAAGUGACUUGCCCAAGAUAAUAUAGCAGGUCAGUAACAGAGCCAAGAAGAAAAUCUCCAUUUCUGCCUCUUAGUCCCUUGCUGUGAGUAGCAUACCACUUGUCUCAACAAGGAAAAAGAAAUGGGCUUUCUGAAGGCUAUUCCUCUCUAAAUAUCAGAAGCACUAUCUUAUUAUAGAGAAGUUAGUAAAUAACUAUUUAUAAAGCACAGAAUAUGGAUUAAAAUGAGGUUUUCCAAUAGGAAGGAGCAACUGGCCACUAGACUAAACUCCCAAAGGAAAAUGGUAAUGGUGCUGUUGCUGCAUAGCCAUUCAAGAAGGUAUGAGAUAAGGACAUUGAUCCUGUUUCCAUUGAAAUCGAUGACUUCACUGGCCUCAGUGGUGCAGGACGAAACCCUUGGCAGAAAGCCUUGCAAAAGGUCUAGCUCUGAUGCUGUGUACGAUAGGAAGACUGGAAGGUUCCAGUUUGUAAAAGGAGCUAUUGCAGAUUCUAGGAAUCAUCCAGCCCUAUGCCUGACCUCUGUACUGGGAAAAAUAAUUGAGCAGGGUCAAAAAGCAUCCAAAGUAAAUGUCUGACAUGGUAGGGAUGAAUAAAUGCCGCUUUUUGUGAGGCUGAAUCAUGCCCCUCUAAUCAGUUGACUUUUCUGAACUAGUAAAACAGCUGAUCAAGAAAAAGAAGAGGGGAAUACAAUCAAUUUACACUUUCAAAAGGCUUUUUGAUAAACAGUCUAAAAGAAAAACAUGGUGACCAAGGGAUGAUAUCAGGACUAGAUACGGACAUUUAAGAAGCCUGAGGCAGAAUCAGUCUAAUUUAUAUGGUUUUCUGUAAGCAGCAUAGUUUAGAUUGGUAGCAAAUGGAACACCCAUUCGCCCUUUGGUGGAGGUGCAAAUCUUAGACAGGGUUCCACCAUUUUUAAACCGGUCUGUGUGCCAAACUUCUGUUCUGUUAUGGGUAGAGACUGGUUUCCAGUCCUUUAUACCGGGUAAAGAUGUAAUGUCUGUACCUGGCUGAGAAGUUCCAUCAUCGAUGAAAAACUUGAUCAGAGAGGAUAGGAAAAAAUAGAGUAGGAGUCUAGUGUAAUAAACUUAAUUCACCUAUGGGACACUUCACCACUCCAGUAAUUCACUGUUGUAAGCUAUUCUCUUUGCCAGGGAGAGGAAUUAUAAGAGAGACGCAUAGCAUAGCAUAGCAUAGUAGCUAGGGUCAGGAGGGACCUGGAUAGAUCAUCUAGCCUGACCCCCUGCCACAGGCAGGAAUGAAUGCUGGGUUCACAAGACCCCAGACAGGUGAUCAGCCAACCUCCUCUUGAAUUUGCCCAAGAUAGGGGCGAGGACCACUUCCCUGGGAAGUUGGUUCCAGAUUUUGGCCACCCUAACUAUAAAAUAUUGCCUCCUGAUCUCUAACCUAAACCUAUUCUCCAUCAGCUUAUUACCAUUGUUCCUUGUCACCCCAGGUGGUGCUGGGGAGAAAAUGGCUCUGCCUAUUCGCUGUUGAUCUCCCCUGAUGAGUUUGUAGGCAGCUACCAGGUCUCCCCUCAGCCUUCUCUUACUGAGGCUCAACAGGUUCAGGUCCUUCAGUCUCUCCUCGUAGGGCCUGUUCUGCUGCCCUCUCACCAAGCGGGUGGCCCUCCUCUGAACCCUCUCCAGGCUGGCCACAUCCCUUUUGAAGUCUGGCGCCCAGAACUGGAUGUAGUACUCCAACUGCGCCCUGACCAAAGUCACAUAGAGGGGGAGUAUCACCUCUCUCGACCAGCUUGAGAUGCAUCUUUGGAUGCAUGAUGAGGUAUGGCUGGCCUUGCUGGCUGUGGUCUGGCAUUGGCAGCUCAUGUUCAUCUUGGAGUCAAUAAUGACUCUAAGAUCCUGUUCCACCUCUGUGCUUUCAAGCAGUGAACUCCCCAGCCUGUAUGUAUGCCAUGGAUCCCUUCUCCCAAGGUGCAGCACCCUGCAUUUAUCUGCAUAGAACCCCAUCCUAUUCUCAUCUGCCCACUUUUGUAGUCUGUCUAUAUCUAGUUGCAGCCUCUCUCUCCCUUCAAGUGUAUCCACCUCGCCCCACAUCUUAGUGUCAUCAGCAAACUUGGACAGCGUGCUUUCCACCCCCUCGUCCAAGUUGCUGAUGAAGUUGUUAAACAAUGUGGGCCCAAGGACUGAGCCCUGGGGUACUCCACUGCUUACAUCUCGCCAGGUUGAGUACAACCCAUCCACCACUACUCUCUGGGUGCACCCCAUCAGCCAAUUUUUUACCCAUCCAACUGUGUAGGCAUCAAUGCCGCAGUCGCUUAAUUUAUUGAUGAGGAUGGGGUGGAGACAGUGUCAAAGGCAUUCUUAAAGUCUAGAAAGACUACGUCCACGGCGACACCAUCGUCCAAGGAUUUAGUUACUUGGCCAUAAAAGGCAAUCGUGUUGGUCAGGCAGGACCUGCCUUUGAUGAACCCAUGCUGAUUGCCCCUGAGCAUGAUCUCCCCUGCAGGCCCCCCACAGAUGUGCUCCUUGAUGAUUCUCUCCAAGAUCUUCCUGAGCACCGAGGUGAGGUUUACAGGCCUAUAGUUACUUGGGUCCUCCUUCCUCCCUUUUUUGAAAAUUGGGACCACAUUAGCCAGUUUCCAAUCCCCUGGCACCUGGCCAGAUGACCAUGAAUGCUCAUACAGCUGGGCCAAGGGCUCCGCGAUGACCCCUGCCAGCUCCCUGAACACCCUUGGGUGGAGGGCAUCUGGACCUUCAGAUUUAAAAAUGUCUAGCCCUUCCAGAAGAUCCCUAACUACAUCUGUACCGACUGAAGGCCUGACAGAGCUAUCCCCGAGAUUGUCCCUACCUCUGGUAGGUGGGAUAUCCGAGUCCCUGUUCAAGAAAACAGAGGCAAAGAAACUGUUAAAAAUAUCAGCUUUCUUGUCUGGCAUGGCCACCAGAUUACCAUUUGUGUCUUGCAGGGGCCCUACAUUGCCUGGUGCCCUUCUUGCUCCCAGUGUACUUGAAAAAGGACUUUUUGUUGCCCUUAAUCCUGGACGCUAGCCUGAGUUCCAUCUCUGCCUUGGCCUUCCUAAUAGCCCUCCUACACUCCCGGGCCGAGGAGGAGUACUCCUCCUUGGUGAUAGCUCCUCCCUUCCACUGGUUGUACGCCCUCCUUUUAGUCCUCAGGCACUCCCGAAUGCCCUUGCUGAGGGCAUAAAAUAACAAAUACCAUUAAUAAGGGUGUUUGGAUGCUUGUAUUUGUUUGGGUUGUACAAGAGGAAGUUAGCAAUUCUGAAGCACAUUGUGGAGGUGAAACAGAUGUUUGGGUUAAUAUUCUGUCUUUCAGCAUUGUUCCAGGUAACGUAUGAUCUUUUGAUGCAUUUGUAAUGGUUGCUGCACCUGCCUAACACAGUUACUGCAUUACCAGUGUGUAACUCCAUGCAUUAGGCUCGUAAGGCAUUUGUACUGCAUCCAUCACCCUAGUAUCUGAACUCCACAGAAUAGAAAAAAAGUAUUAUAUAGAGAAACAAUGUGUUCUCAGCUAAAAUCCAUAGAGAGAGAAAAAUAAAAGUAAUUUGAUUUGCUAUAGCCAGGGGUCUUGCCCAAAUUGAAGAGACAGCUUACUUAUUUUACAAGGAGACUGUAGGGCUGGCCGCCAUUUUCAUGGGCUGAUUGUACUGGGGUCCGCCCCCCGCUAAUUGGCAAGAGGUCCCGGUGGCCCUGUCCCUCACUGCUGAUUGGUUGCAAAGGCUGUCCAUCAUAUGAUCCUGCCCCUUUGCCACUGAUUCGUUAUGAGGGCGGUCUGUUGUGUGGCCCCACCCCUUGUCACCGAUUGGUGGAGAGGAGUGGGGCCGCACAAGAGGCAGCCCUCUCAGCCAAUCAGUGCUGAAGGAUGGGGGUGGCAGCCAUAUCAAGCCAUCUCUGGGGAGCUAGCAUUUUAUUUGUAGUAAGUUUUUCCCCCCCCCACACAGGUUUUGCGGACAUUGCCCAAUUUUAUGGGCAAUGCUGGAUUUUGUAAUUUCCGCAAAAAUCCACGAAAUCGCGAUUUCAGUAGGUCCUUAGCUAUAACCCCACUGUCUUCUUAAUUCAAUGAAGACACAUAAGAAAGAGAAAUGCUGAAUUUGUACAGAUCAGAGGGAAAUGGCCAAUGCACUUUAAAACAACAGCAAGCUGAGUGUGAAGAACGAGUACGGCAUCUGGGAUAAAGGAUUAUGCUGCUGCACCCAUCAGCUCUUGUGGCUGGUAUAGCUCCUGUCACUGCUCUGUGACAAAUGGAGCAAAUGUAGCCAGCAGAGUGCUUCAUUAAAAGUCAGUGGUUGGGAAAUGGACUUGUUUCCAUGUUUUCCUGGAAGUAAGUGGCAUGGCAGAAGAAUGAAAUCCUCCACACUGCUGUAUAUGACUGUUGCAAAGACUGUAGCUAUCAUACAUUCCAGAUGGUACAUGAAGGGGCCUGAAGACUGCUAGUUAAUGUCAUUCAGAGGUUUCAAGCAUACUUUGAUCCACCCGAGUAUGUCACUUGGGACAGGCUCUUUUUUUUUUUUAAACUAAAAGUUGGCUUCCAGGUGAAGCUAUUGUAUGGUACAGCCUGAUGUAAUAAAGGGUAAGUCACGUGAAUUUGAGGAAUGCAUAAAAGGAUUAAUGAGAAACUGGAUUAUUUGUGAAACAACUGAUCCGUAGGCCAAAUAAAAGGCAUAAUAAAUGGGAGAAGGGAAAAGAAAUAGUGCCAGGUUGUAUUUUGGCAAUGCUGGAGAAGUGCAUUGUUUCUUUCCCCACCGCAAAAAAAAUUCAGGGCAUCACAGCCAAGCUGCUGGGGGAUCAGUAUAUGGUAUUCUUCCCUCUUACUUGGUAAUGAAACAGUGUCAUGGAAAGAUGUGAGAGGUGGUAGGUUGCUGGAGCAGCAGACUUUUGGAUGAGAAAUAAGCCUGAUGUUCUGACUACCUGUCAGCAAAAGUCCUGGAGCCUUGGCUGAAUUUCUGCUUAGCUAAUUAUUAUCUGCUACCUAAAUUGCUUCAGAUGGACACAGGGUUCUUUACUGCCUUAAUCUGUUGUAUAGUUAUACUGGAUGCUUCAGCUCCUGCUCACAGACAGCUCUGUUUCAAUGGUAAAUCUGUUCUGCCAAGCAGAUGAGGAAAGACGCUGCAUAAAUGUAAAUUACAAGCUACCUGGAGAAUGCAGCUUGUGUUAUGCCGCUAUAAGGAAAGGAAGGGCAACUUUCAACAUUUUACUGAGAGACUCCAAAUAUAUACUAGUUCUAUUAAAGAUUAAGGUCCAGGAGUCAGGUGAUUAUGUGAGACUCACAUGUCUUUAAAAAAGCAAGUUUCUAGCUUUCAAUGUGGCAGAAAACUUGAAAUUGUGAUCCUUCUAGGAGACUCAGAAACCAAAAGGCAAAUACAAAAAGAACCCAGGUGUCUUAGUUUUCCAAUUCCAAUGCUUGUUAGGCUACUCCUGAUGUUUUGGGACCUGGCUCAUGUGUUUUUGAAUGUUUGGGCUUUAGCCAUGCUAAAAAGCAUGGAGUGGUAGCUUUCAAACCCUAGUUUGGAAAAUCCCAACUUGCUGCCUUGUAGAGAGCAAAGUAUCUCCUGGCAAGUGACUUACAUGGGUUCAGAGCUUAGUGUUCACAGCUGGACUCUAUGGAGGCUGUCUGUGAGAUAGGGAAAUACUUCCCUUUUAGCUCUCUCCCUCAAGCCUAGGCCAAGCUGACAGCAAGAGGAAACUGUUACCAUCUAGUGGCAUACAUGAAAUUAAAUUUUGGCCAAAGGGCAAAUUCAUUUCAUGAUGAACCUGUGUGCACGUAACCACUUCCCCAGUUGACAUCCUUCUUUCUCUGACUGCUGUCCUCACGGUCAGCCUUAGCCCUGAAGACUGAAAUUACAUGAUGCUUGAACUCCUGUGAGUCACUCAGGGGAAGUCUACACAGCUAUAGACCUUGCUAUAGAUAGUCUAUGAAUGUACAGCCUCUUUUUCCAGGCCUGUUGAUCCAGCAGCCUUCUUUACAGCUAAACUAAUUUAAAAAAUAAGAACAUCUGAGUCCAGAAGCCCGGUGCCCUUCACUUCCUUCCAAUCUGCCUCUUUCAGUAAGGCAGUAUGCCUGCUGCUUGUUACUGAUGCAUGCAGUCUGUGGAUAUUGUUAGCUCUUCAACUGCAUUUAAAUGGUCACAUAGCUUGAUGGAUGUGUGCUGCUCUUCACAAGUUCAGACAUGCCAGGAGCUGUGGAUCAAGAGAGACCUCUUGGUCACUUUUAAUGUCCUUGAUGGAUAAAGUAGAUAUGAGCUCCAGGCAUAGUGGUGAUAAAUGUAUCUGUUACAAAUGCACAUGGUUCCAAAAGAAGCCAGCACAGUGGUGAGUGCCACUCCAGUGGCUGAGGGACCGUUGCAUGGAUGAACGGAUGGUCUCUCAUGUGAAGCUGGUCAAACGAGUAGAGCUGUUACCAAAAGGAAGACUGCCAUGCUCAUCUAUAGUGAUAAGAAGCAGCAAUCAGCAAGGCAGCAGAAAUGGGAACCAAAAAAGAAACUGAGGCUAAAAACAGAUCUUGUAUUUCCCUGAGACAAAACCUUGUAUCCUGGGAUCCAUGAACAAGCCCAUCGUGCCAUGUUAAGUACCUGAGAAAUAUUGGAAUUAACACUUGCCCCCCAUGAUAGCUAAUAUGAGUGAAUUACCUUCCAGUCUGCGUGUUCUGUUUUUGGCCUGAAAUAAUAAAAAGAACUAUUCUGGACAACUGAGACACUUUGUAUAUGCCAGACCAAGCUGCUUUUCCUGAGGGAGCAGAAGCCCCAGACCCCACACCUAAAUCUGUUGUAGUAACAACACAGUAGAGCAGCAAUGAAGAUAUAUCUGGUUCAUAUGGUUUUGCUGAAUAAGAUUUCAGUUACAGUCGAAUUACAUUUGUGGAACACUUA